rnacentral:rRNA from 1 species
CCCUGACCCUUUAAGGGUCCUGAAGGAACGUUGAAGACGACGACGUUGAUAGGCCGGGUGUGUAAGCGCAGCGAUGCGUUGAGCUAACCGGUACUAAUGAACCGUGAGGCUUAACCUUACAACGCCGAAGCUGUU